CGGACCGUAGCGCAGCCUGGUAGCGCACUUGUCUGGGGGACAAGGGGUCGUGGGUUCGAAUCCCGCCGGUCCGACCA
rnacentral:tRNA from 1 species